rnacentral:rRNA from 1 species
AUCGAACGCUGGCGGCAGGCUUAACACAUGCAAGUCGAGCGGGGAAGGGUAGCUUGCUACCUGACCUAGCGGCGGACGAGUGAGUAAUGCUUAGGAAUCUGCCUAUUAGUGGGGGACAACAUUCCGAAAGGAAUGCUAAUACCGCAUACGCCCUACGGGGGAAAGCAGGGGAUCUUCGGACCUUGCGCUAAUAGAUGAGCCUAAGUCAGAUUAGCUAGUUGGUGGGGUAAAGGCCUACCAAGGCGACGAUCUGUAGCGGGUCUGAGAGGAUGAUCCGCCACACUGGGACUGAGACACGGCCCAGACUCCUACGGGAGGCAGCAGUGGGGAAUAUUGGACAAUGGGCGAAAGCCUGAUCCAGCCAUGCCGCGUGUGUGAAGAAGGCCUUUUGGUUGUAAAGCACUUUAAGCGAGGAGGAGGCUACCGAGAUUAAUACUCUUGGAUAGUGGACGUUACUCGCAGAAUAAGCACCGGCUAACUCUGUGCCAGCCGCCGCAGUAA